GGACUGUAGUCUGCAACCCGACUACACGAAGCUGGAAUCGCUAGUAAUCGCGAAUCAGAAUGUCGCGGUGAAUACGUUCCCGGGUCUUGUACACACCGCCCGUCACACCAUGGGAGUCGGGAAUGCCCGAAGUCAGUGACCCAACCUUUGGAGGGAGCUGCCGAAGGCAGGUCUGAUAACUGGGGUGAAGUCGUAACAAGGUAUC
rnacentral:rRNA from 1 species